rnacentral:pre_miRNA from 1 species
AGUGGAAUAGCUGGGUCAUAUAGUAAUUUUAUGUUUAAUUUUUUAAAGAAACUGCCAAGCUAUUUUCCAAAGUGGCUAUACCAUUUACAUUCCCACCAGCAAU